AGUAAGGAUAUAUUUCCCUAUUUGCUGGUGCUGAGUGUAUCUUACAUGAAGAAUCUAAGAAGCAUUUGCGAAGGAGAAGUUCAUUCCGGUCACAGUUUUGGUAUGUUGAAGACCUUAGCAUUGCACAAUUGCCCCAAGUUAACAACCAUUUUCACAUUGGAUUUUUUGAGCAACCUAUCACUCUUGAAGGUGCUUGUAGUUAAAGAUUGUCCAAAAAUAAGUGCUUUAAUAUCUUAUGGAACAUCCAAACUUAGAGCAGGUACUUUCCUCCCAAAAUUAAGAACAAUAGCACUUCUCCAUCUUCCUGAAUUGAUCAGCAUUUCCAACAGAUUACACAUGGGUCCAAGUUUAGAAAACAUAGGAAUUUAUAAUUGCCCAAAACUUCAGAGCCUUUCAAAAAUGGAACUGUCAAGUAAAAAUUUGAAAGUCAUCAAAGGAGAAACCAAGUGGUGGGAGGCAUUGACAUGGAGUGAAGCAGAAUGGGG